AAUAAAGGGUGGACCUAGGCUUCUAAAUGGCCACAAAAUUUUUAAUGUCAUCUAUUCUCGCGACCACUGAUCCUAGGAUCUUUCAUCACCUGGUUUGCUGUUAGCCUCACUAGUUUUGACCCUACAGAUAAUGACCUGUAUAUUGCAUGUCUACAAGCACCCGUGGACUUAGGAUCUCUAGAUGCGAUGGGUUUGCUACU
rnacentral:lncRNA from 1 species